AUGGGCUGGCGGAUGCCAAUGAUGCGAUGAUGAUACACGGGGCACGACCGCAGUUGCCAAUGAAUUCUGCGAACAGGUUUCUUACAUCAUGACGUGACGUGGCUGGGCGGGUGGCACCAUCUGUUGGACGUCUGAGUGCUUGUGUUGGUUGCUAUCUCAAAUCACUCAAAUCUACAGAUCUGUACAAUAAUAAUUAAUUACACAAAGUAGCACCAAGUUCCCUUAUUGGAACUAGUUCUGAAUCAAUUGAGAAAGUGAAAUCACAAGAAAGAGAAUCCUCAUAGCAGUGUGUGAGCAACUACGUGAGAGGGCAAGUGGGCAACAAGUGUGAUCAAGAAGCAGUGAUCAACUGCCAUCUGAGUUACUGACUUGUUGAAAAUGAGGGAAAGAGUGUAGUAACUUAUAAAUUACUACUAGAUCCUGUCUGCAGAUCAACAGCAAUCGCUUCUUUCAUUGAAUGUGAUACCAG
rnacentral:sRNA from 1 species